rnacentral:piRNA from 1 species
UCAACCGCUUCUGUUACGGCCAGUGC